rnacentral:rRNA from 1 species
UAGAGUUUGAUCAUGGCUCAGGAUGAACGCUAGCGACAGGCCUAACACAUGCAAGUCGAGGGGCAUCGGGGCGAGGAGCAAUCCUUGCCGCCGGCGACCGGCGCACGGGUGAGUAACGCGUAUGCGACCUGCCCGUUGCAGGGGGAUAAUCGGGAGAAAUCCCGUCUAAUACCGCGUAAUGCCGCGGGGCUGCAUGGCCCUGCGGCCAAAGGGAGCGAUUCCGGCAACGGAUGGGCAUGCGUGACAUUAGCUAGUUGGCGGGGCAACGGCCCACCAAGGCGACGAUGUCUAGGGGUUCUGAGAGGAAGGUCCCCCACACUGGUACUGAGACACGGACCAGACUCCUACGGGAGGCAGCAGUGAGGAAUAUUGGUCAAUGGGAGAGAUCCUGAACCAGCCAAGCCGCGUGAGGGAAGACGGCCCUAUGGGUUGUAAACCUCUUUUGUCGGAGAACAAAACCCGGGACGUGUCCCGGACUGCGUGUAUCCGAAGAAAAAGCAUCGGCUAACUCCGUGCCAGCAGCCGCGGUAAUACGGAGGAUGCGAGCGUUAUCCGGAUUUAUUGGGUUUAAAGGGUGCGCAGGCGGAAGAUCAAGUCAGCGGUAAAAUUGAGAGGCUCAACCUCUUCGAGCCGUUGAAACUGGUUUU